UACGUAGGGGGCAAGCGUUGUCCGGAAUCAUUGGGCGUAAAGCGCGUGUAGGCGGUUCGGUAAGUCUGUUGUGAAAGUCCAGGGCUCAACCCUGGGAUGCCGGUGGAUACUGUCGGACUAGAGUACGGAAGAGGCGAGUGGAAUUCCCGGUGUAGCGGUGAAAUGCGCAGAUAUCAGGAAGAACACCAAUGGCGAAGGCAGCUCUCUGGGACGGUACUGACGCUGAGACGCGAAAGCGUGGGGAGCAAACAGG
rnacentral:rRNA from 1 species